UACAGAGGGUGCAAGCGUUGUUCGGAAUUAUUGGGCGUAAAGGGCGCGUAGGCGGUGCCACAAGUCACCUGUGAAAUCUCCGGGCUUAACUCGGAGCCUGCAGGCGAAACUGUGGUGCUGGAGUGUGGGAGAGGUGCGUGGAAUUCCCGGUGUAGCGGUGAAAUGCGCAGAUAUCGGGAAGAACACCCGUGGCGAAGGCGGCUCUCUGGGACGGUACUGACGCUGAGACGCGAAAGCGUGGGGAGCGAACAGG
rnacentral:rRNA from 1 species